CUCCGUGCCAGCAGCCGCGGUAAUACGGGGGGGACAAGCGUUGUUCGGAAUCACUGGGCGUAAAGGGCGCGUAGGCGGACCCUCAAGUCGGGUGUGAAAACUGGCGGCUUAACUGCCAGCCUGCACUCGAAACUGUCGGUCUUGAGUACAGUAGAGGAAAGCGGAAUUCCAGGUGUAGCGGUGAAAUGCGUAGAUAUCUGGAAGAACACCAGUAGCGAAGGCGGCUUUCUGGGCUGAUACUGACGCUGAAGCGCGAAGGCUUGGGUAGCAAACAGGAUUAGAUACCCUGGUAGUCCAAGCGGUAAACGAUGGGUACUAGGUGUCGGGGGUAUCGACCCCUUCGGUGCCGCAGCUAACGCAUUAAGUACCCCGCCUGGGGAGUACGAUCGCAAGAUUGAAACUCAAAGGAAUUGACGGGGGCCCGCACAAGCGGUGGAGUAUGUGGUUUAAUUCGAGGCAACGCGAAGAACCUUACCUGGGUUUGACAUGCUUGAGACUGCUGGUGAAAGCCAGUUUCCCUUCGGGGCUCUUGCACAGGUGCUGCAUGGCUGUCGUCAGCUCGUGCCGUGAGGUGUUGGGUUAAGUCCCGCAACGAGCGCAACCCUUGUCCAUAGUUGCCAUCAGGUAAUGCUGGGAACUCUAUGGAGACUGCCGGUGAUAAGCUGGAGGAAGGUGGGGAUGACGUCAAGUCCUCAUGGCCCUUAUAUCCAGGGCUACACACGUACUACAAUGGUCGGUACAGAAGGUCGCAAUACCGUGAGGUGGAGCCAAUCCCUAAAACCGGCCCCAGUUCGAAUUGGAGUCUGCAACUCGACUCCAUGAAGUCGGAAUCGCUAGUAAUCGCUGAUCAGCAAGCAGCGGUGAAUACGUUCCCGGGCCUUGUACACACCGCCCGUCAAGCCACGGAAGUUGGGAGCACCCGAAGUCGUUUGCCUAACCGCAAGGAAGGCGGCGCCUAAGGUGAAACCAGCGACUGGGGCU
rnacentral:rRNA from 1 species